rnacentral:tRNA from 1 species
AGAGACUUAGGUUAGUAACCUAGACCAAGGGCCUUCAAAGCCCUCAGCGAGAGUGAGAAUCUCCCAGUCCCUG